UACGAAACUCUAUGAAGUAGAUCCCGCUGCAUGUUUAUGUACCUGAAUGCAAGCGCGUUUGUGUAUUUUUGAUGUCUUUUAAAGGUUUCGCAAUGACGGGUUGCUCAGUUUUGCUUUGCUAUUAGAGAGCUGUACUUAUAGAUCUAUUGUGUUUUAAAAGUUGUUAAAUUCGGCAGACUCUGCUAGGCAAUGGUCUGAUGUGCCGAUAAAUAAUACAUUAACUCAUGUGAAUACUCAAGUCCGUUUCACCGGAAUUGAAAAAUUCAUUGAUCAAAUCGUUACCUGUGUAAGGUUUUGAAAACAAUUUGCUCAUCAAUUUGAAAGUAAUAUGUAUACUACCUAUUGGAAUCUCUCUGUCUAUGCGUGUUAAACAUACUUUAAAACAUAUUUCCAACCAAAUCGACAUUAACAUAUGGACCUAUCGAAUUAAAAUUG